GAAUAGCUGGAGGAAACCAAUUAUAUAGAAAAACAAUAAAAAUUUUAAGCUCAUGUACAAAGCAGUAGUGUUUUUUUUUUUUUUUUUUUUUUUUUUUUUUUUUUUUUUUUUUUGCUGUUCCCACAGCAUGUGGAAAUUCCUGGGGCCAGGGAUCACACCUGUGCCAGAGCAGUAAUUAUACAGGAUCCUUAACCCACUGAGCUGCCAGGGAACUCCCAAUGUAGUAGUGUCUUUAUUAGCACAUUAAAUAACAGGGCCACACCUGUGGCACAUGGCCGUUCCCAGGCUAGGGAUCCAAUCAAAGUUGCAGCUGCUGGCUUACACCACAGCUUAUGGCAAGGCCAUGACCCUUAACCCACUGAGCGAGGCCAGGGAUUGAACCCCCAAGCUCAUGGAUACUAGUCGGGUUCCUUACUUCUGAGCUAAGAUAGGAACUCCAAAUUCUCUCUACUUUUGUGUAUGUCUGAAACUACUCACAAUAAAAAAGAUUAAACUUACUUGAACCAUUCAGCAGGUAUUUAUCACUGAAUAGCUGCAUUUAUUGAACACCUGCUGUGCGCCAGGCUCAGGAGGUCAUUUUAUCUUCACACCAGGCCUGAGGAGACAGGGCCUGUUACAGGUCUCAGAGAACUAGAGGUGAGGAGUUCCUGUCAUGGCGCAGUGGAAAUGAAUCCAACUAGGAGCCAUGAGGUUGCAGGUUCGAUCCCUGGCCUCUCCCAGUGGGUUAAGGAUCCGGUGUUGCUGUGAGCGGUGGUGUAGGUCACAGACGCGGCUUGGAUCUGGUGUUGCUGUGGCUGUGGUGUAGGCCGGUGGCAACAGCUCCGAUUCCACCCCUAGCCUGGGAACUUCCACAUGCCUUGGUGCGGUCCUGAAAAGACAAAAAAGAAACUAGAGGUGUGUGGUCACACUGAGAGGACGGGGCAGGGCAAAGGGUGUAGGGGUGUCAGGGUAACAGCUAAAUCCCUCUUUCAUUAGAUUGUACCUGGAAGUGAAAAGUCAGUCGCUGUCACUGACACAUAUAAAGGUGAGAGCUGGAAGAAACAGGCAGAGAACACAAAUGGCUGAGGGGGGACCCAGGUGUCAGAUAUUGCCAAUUUUUUUCAUUAUAAGCCUUGUAGUUCUAUUUGUCCUUUAAAAAUGUGUAUCUGUUAUUAAUUUUAUUGAAAAUAAAAGGGAUCAAACCUGCAACCUCAUGGUUCCUAGUCAGAUUCGUUAAUCACUGCACCACGACGGGAACUCCAGGAGGAUUUGCUUUUUAUUUUGGUCUUUGGAGGGCCGCACCCGAGGCACAUGGAGGUUCCCAGGGGUCAAAUCAGAGCUGUAGCCACCAGCCCACAGGAACGUGGGAUCUGAGCUGAGUCUUUGACCUACACUACAGCUCACGGCAAUGCAGGAUCCUUAACCCACUGAGUGAGGAGGCCAGGGAUUGAACCUGUGUCUUCAUGGAUGCUAGUCAGAUUCAAUUCCGCUGAGCCACGAUGGGAACUCCAGGAUUCACUCUUGAAUGGAUUUGUUUUCCAAGACUUCUAAUGGCCCCUCUUGGAGUGCGUGUCAUUGCCUCCUUUCCCCCCACAGCUGCAGGGGUCCCUCCUAGACGUCUGUAGCCCCAGCCGGCUCGCUCCUUCCCGCGGCCACUGCCCCAAAGGAAACACCCCCCCACCCCAAUCCCCGCCUUGCUCGGGCCCUGUGAUUCUGCCCUCUAGGGCCCUCUUAUCUCGCUGGAGGGGUGGGAUGGGGCCCCUCCAGCUGCCUGCGCUCCGGUUCUCACCCGCUGCAAGGAGGGGAGGGAGUGCGGGGGUGGGGGGGGGCGCUGGGGGGUGUUUGGGACGGCUGGUUCAAGCACAGGUGCUCGGCUGGUCAGGCGGUUGCACCCGCCUCGGGGGCUAGGCUGCCCGUAUGGUCUGGGAUUCCAGACCAGUGGGUGGGGCUCACGGGGCCGUCCCGGGGCGGGAAGAGGAAACCAGCCUAAGCGAGGGGCCAUCGGGACCCAGCGAGGACUGGGGAUGCUGAUGGCCCUCUCAGCCAGCAGGGGGCGUGUGGGCCAGGUCUUGGGGGCAGAGGAGGGCGAGCCCCAGCGAUGCUGGCCCAGAAGUGGCGGCUAAUUUUAAAUCAUUCAGUUAGAUGGCAACUGAAAGAAAAAUGCAAAACCUGAAAGUUGAGGCUUAUGUUUUAUUUGGUGACUACCGAGCACUGUAGCCUGGGAGGUAGCUCAGCGCUUCUCAGACAGGUCUGGGGAGCUGUUCCAAAGAGGGAAGCAAGGGGCAGGAUACGCAGGAGUUUUUGC
rnacentral:lncRNA from 1 species